UGAGGGACAAGUUAGGUUCACGGCAAUAUAAUAAGCAGGCCAAACACACCGAGAUGCAAGAAAUAUGGGCAGGUAUUGGGGAACUCGGCCACAGGAAAGGCAAGUUGGACCUCAGUUUGAAUGGAAUAAAGAAGGAACAUGUAUUAUA